GACAGAAGGGAGCUUGCUCCCGGAUGUUAGCGGCGGACGGGUGAGUAACACGUGGGUAACCUGCCUGUAAGACUGGGAUAACUCCGGGAAACCGGAGCUAAUACCGGAUAGUUCCUUGAACCGCAUGGUUCAAGGAUGAAAGACGGUUUCGGCUGUCACUUACAGAUGGACCCGCGGCGCAUUAGCUAGUUGGUGGGGUAAUGGCUCACCAAGGCGACGAUGCGUAGCCGACCUGAGAGGGUGAUCGGCCACACUGGGACUGAGACACGGCCCAGACUCCUACGGGAGGCAGCAGUAGGGAAUCUUCCGCAAUGGACGAAAGUCUGACGGAGCAACGCCGCGUGAGUGAUGAAGGUUUUCGGAUCGUAAAGCUCUGUUGUUAGGGAAGAACAAGUGCGAGAGUAACUGCUCGCACCUUGACGGUACCUAACCAGAAAGCCACGGCUAACUACGUGCCAGCAGCCGCGGUAAUACGUAGGUGGCAAGCGUUGUCCGGAAUUAUUGGGCGUAAAGGGCUCGCAGGCGGUUUCUUAAGUCUGAUGUGAAAGCCCCCGGCUCAACCGGGGAGGGUCAUUGGAAACUGGGAAACUUGAGUGCAGAAGAGGAGAGUGGAAUUCCACGUGUAGCGGUGAAAUGCGUAGAGAUGUGGAGGAACACCAGUGGCGAAGGCGACUCUCUGGUCUGUAACUGACGCUGAGGAGCGAAAGCGUGGGGAGCGAACAGGAUUAGAUACCCUGGUAGUCCACGCCGUAAACGAUGAGUGCUAAGUGUUAGGGGGUUUCCGCCCCUUAGUGCUGCAGCUAACGCAUUAAGCACUCCGCCUGGGGAGUACGGUCGCAAGACUGAAACUCAAAGGAAUUGACGGGGGGCCCGCACAAGCGGUGGAGCAUGUGGUUUAAUUUCGAAGCAACGCGAAGAACCUUACCAGGUCUUGACAUCCUCUGACAACCCUAGAGAUAGGGCUUUCCCUUCGGGGRCAGAGUGACAGGUGGUGCAUGGUUGUCGUCAGCUCGUGUCGUGAGAUGUUGGGUUAAGUCCCGCAACGAGCGCAACCCUUGAUCUUAGUUGCCAGCAUUCAGUUGGGCACUCUAAGGUGACUGCCGGUGACAAACCGGAGGAAGGUGGGGAUGACGUCAAAUCAUCAUGCCCCUUAUGACCUGGGCUACACACGUGCUACAAUGGACAGAACAAAGGGCUGCGAGACCGCAAGGUUUAGCCAAUCCCAUAAAUCUGUUCUCAGUUCGGAUCGCAGUCUGCAACUCGACUGCGUGAAGCUGGAAUCGCUAGUAAUCGCGGAUCAGCAUGCCGCGGUGAAUACGUUCCCGGGCCUUGUACACACCGCCCGUCACACCACGAGAGUUUGCAACACCCGAAGUCGGUGAGGUAACCUUUAUGGA
rnacentral:rRNA from 1 species